rnacentral:rRNA from 1 species
AUUGAACGCUGGCGGCAGGCUUAACACAUGCAAGUCGAACGAGUGGCGGACGGGUGAGUAAUGCUUGGGAAUCUAGCUUAUGGAGGGGGAUAACUACGGGAAACUGUAGAUAAUAACGCAUACCCUAGGAUGAGCCCAAUUGGGAUUGGGUAGUUGGUGGGGUAAAGGCUCACCAAGUCGAAGAUCCCUAGCUGGUCUGAGAGGGUGACCAGCGACACUGGAAAUGGGACACGGUCCAGAAUCCUACGGGAGGCAGCAGUGGGGAAUAUUGCGCAACGGGGGCAAGCCUGAGGCAGCCAUGCCGAGUGAAUGAAGAAGGCCUUCGGGUUGUAAAGUACUUUCGGGAGGGAGGCGUUACCUACAGAAGAAGCACCGGCUAACUCCGUGCCAGCCGCCGCGGUAAUAC